rnacentral:rRNA from 1 species
ACGGUCCCCUSGCGUGCGAAGGUWGCAUAAUCACUUGUUCUUUAAAUGGGGACCKGUAUCACCGGCWCCACGAGGGUUAUACUGUCUCCUCUUUCGAUCAGUGAAACUAAUCUCCCCGUGAAGAAGCGGGAAUACUUUUAUAAGACGAGAAGACCCUAUGGAGCUUCAAACUCAACUACCCCCUNAUUUUAUAGCCCCUUAACCACACUGGGCCCUGUAUAGUUAGUUUUAGGUUGGGGCGACCACGGAGUAAAACAAAACCUCCACAAUGAANGGGACCACCCCCUUAUCUAAGAGCUACACCUCUAAGAAUUAGAAUUCUAACAUAARAUGAUCCAUAAUUUGAUCAAUGAACCAAGUUACCCUAGGGAUAACAGCGCAWUCCAUUUCAAGAGCCCAUAUCGACAAAUGGGUUUACGACCUCGAUGUUGGAUCAGGAUCUCCCAGUGGUGCAGCAGCUACNAACGGUUCGUUUGUUCAACGAUUAAAAUCCU